GGACGGGUGGCCGAGCGGUUUAAGGCAGCGGUCUUGAAAACCGCCGUGGGUGAAAGCCCACCGUGGGUUCGAAUCCCACCCCGUCCGCCA
rnacentral:tRNA from 1 species